GUGUUCCUGAUAAUUGACCUGGGUUGACCAUUCUUAUUAGUACAUUUUUUUCUUAUUUAGAAAUUUUGAAAGGUUUAAUACCACCUUUUAAAUUCUAUAUGAAAAAUAUUUCCCAGAUUUUAUAAUUUAGACCAUCAACAAUAACAAACAAACAAACAAAAAAAAAAUCAAUCUACAUAGUUAUAAAUCCCAACCAUGAAUAAAAAUACAGGUUUGGCUGCCUUUUGUUUAAACCAUUAUUUCUCCUGGUAUUUAUCUGUGGCCUAUAUCUGUUGGUAUAUGUGCCAUGACAUCUGAACUGUUAGUGUCAUGCACAUAUGUUGUGUCUGAACUAUGUUGAUUUAAUUCAGGAGAAACUGCGAAAGUUAAGGCAUUGCAGGAAUUGGAACUCUCUUUUUCUGGUUUGGAUCCAGGAACCUCCUUGUGAGUUGGGUCUUCUUUAACAUCGCCCAUUUUCCAGUCAUGAGGAGUUCUGUUGUCUUUAGUUUGAUUUACUUUUCUUUUGAAACUAGGACUUGGUGCAUUAGAUAA